AGCGUGACAUCUUCGCAUGGCUUUUGUGGUGUCUGUGGCAGAGACAUCACAUUUCUAAAAGAUGUGGCUAACAAAGUCCCUGAGGAGAUGCCCACCACUAGUGCACAUCUAAGUGCACAGUCUAGCACCAGUGCAGCAGGAAGCUCAGCUGUAGAGUCCUUUAAAAAAUAUAGGGAAAUAAAAGAGGGAGAGAAAGACCUUUUUUACAAAGGGACGGCAUAACUCCAAAAAUGAAAAGAAACAGAAAUUGGUGAAGAUUUCUGUUGGAGUAAUGAGGAGGAUGGAUGGCUGCCUUAAACCUGUGAGAGGGAGG